CUACGGGAUGCAGCAGUGAGGAAUAUUGCACAAUGGGGGGAACCCUGAUGCAGUAACGCCGCGUGGAGGAUGACGCAUUUCGGUGUGUAAACUCCUUUUAUAUGUCAAGAAAAUGACGGUAGCAUAUGAAUAAGCACCGGCUAACUCCGUGCCAGCAGCCGCGGUAAUACGGAGGGUGCAAGCGUUACUCGGAAUCACUGGGCGUAAAGGACGCGUAGGCGGGUUGGAAAGUCAGGUGUGAAAUCCUACAGCUUAACUGUAGAACUGCACUUGAAACUUCUAAUCUAGAGUAUGGGAGGGGAGAUGGAAUUUGUGGUGUAGGGGUAAAAUCCGUAGAUAUCACUAGGAAUACCUAAAGCGAAGGCGAUCUCCUGGAACAUUACUGACGCUAAGGCGUGAAAGCGUGGGGAGCAAACAGGAUUAGAUACCCCUGUAGUC
rnacentral:rRNA from 1 species